UGGGGAAUAUUGCACAAUGGGCGAAAGCCUGAUGCAGCGACGCCGCGUGAGGGAUGACGGCCUUCGGGUUGUAAACCUCUUUCGACCUUGACGAAGCCUUCUUUGGUGGGGGUGACGGUAGGGGGAGAAGAAGCGCCGGCCAACUACGUGCCAGCAGCCGCGGUAAGACGUAGGGCGCGAGCGUUGUCCGGAUUUAUUGGGCGUAAAGAGCUCGUAGGCGGCUUGUUGCGUCGACCGUGAAAACCUGCGGCUUAACUGUGGGCGGGCGGUUGAUACGGGCAGGCUGGAGUUCGGUAGGGGAGACUGGAAUUCCUGGUGUAGCGGUGAAAUGCGCAGAUAUCAGGAGGAACACCGGUGGCGAAGGCGGGUCUCUGGGCCGAUACUGACGCUGAGGAGCGAAAGCGUGGGGAGCGAACAG
rnacentral:rRNA from 1 species